UUCACCCCUAACAGACAGAGAAGGAAGCAGCGAACACAUUAGGAUACUGUCAUCAGCUAAAAGACAGAGAAAGGAAGCAGUGAACACAUUAGGAUACUGUCAUCAGCUACGACAGAGAAAGGAAGCGUGAACACAUUAGGAUACUGUCACCACCUAACAGACAGAGAAAGGAUCAGUGAACACAUUAGGAUACUGUCAUCAGCUAACAGGGACAGAGAAAGGGAUCAGUGAACACAUUAGGAGUACUGUCCACCACUAACAGACAGAGAAGGGAUCAGUGAACACAUUAGGAUACUGUCAUCAGCUAAAAGACAGUGAAAGGAAGCAGUGACACAUUAGGUACUGUCAUCAGC
rnacentral:lncRNA from 1 species